rnacentral:rRNA from 1 species
GACGAACGCUGGCGGCGUGCCUAACACAUGCAAGUCGAACGGAAAGGCCCUGCUUUUGUGGGGUGCUCGAGUGGCGAACGGGUGAGUAACACGUGAGUAACCUGCCCUUGACUUUGGGAUAACUUCAGGAAACUGGGGCUAAUACCGGAUAGGAGCUCCUGCUGCAUGGUGGGGGUUGGAAAGUGUCGGCGGUUGGGGAUGGACUCGCGGCUUAUCAGCUUGUUGGUGGGGUAGUGGCUUACCAAGGCUUUGACGGGUAGCCGGCCUGAGAGGGUGACCGGCCACAUUGGGACUAGGAUACGGCCCAGACUCCUACGGGAGGCAGCAGUGGGGAAUAUUGCACAAUGGGCGGAAGCCUGAUGCAGCAACGCCGCGUGCGGGAUGACGGCCUUCGGGUUGUAAACCGCUUUCGCCUGUGACGAAGCGUGAGUGACGGUAAUGGGUAAAGAAGCACCGGCUAACUACGUG